AAUAACAAUAGCAGGUAAAGGUAAGAAAGUGAAGAUAUCAUA
rnacentral:guide_RNA from 1 species